CCGUCUGUACUUCACCAACACAGAACAUUAAGCUGAAGCAGUAAAAUGAAAUCAAGAAAAAGAUAACACAGCUUCUACAUCAGGAGAUCCAUAAAACCACAGGCUCAUUGUUAAGGAGUGUGAAUGAUUCUCAGUUGCUGCAGAAAGUUAUGGAGGUAGUGCUUAACACUACAGCUCUUUGUCCCCGUGAUGGAAAAAUCCAGAUGGAAAGAAGUGUGGUUCACAGGGAAAUGAUCAUACAUUCAAGAAACGCAAGAUCUACAAAUCAGACAUUUUGCUCCGGGAUAACCACUGAAGAUCAACUAAACCAGCUACUAACCAGCUACUAGAUCAACUGGUAGAGCUGGAAGAAUUAGGCAAGCUUUCAACUAUGCAAAAAGGGCUAUAUUUUUUCCAAUUAUGCCGAUAUAAUUAUACACUGUCUUUACUGACAACCUUUGCCUUAGGCCAGCACAGCAACACUGCUGUUACUGAAACGCUGUGAUUUUUCAUGUUGCCAGAAGAUGGCAGAAGAAAGCAAUCUUGAAUGAUUAAAAAAUGCACAGUAUACUCAUGAAUGGCAUUUAAAGGGAGCUGUUAUGAUACACAAGAAACUGCACUUGUUGGAUGGAAGAAAAAUUUGAAAUGUACUGGAUGAAUUAAAUUGGUAUUGACCUGAGUGUAUACAUCAAAUGAUCUACAUUGUCUCCUGUAUCAGAAAAGCCUGUAGCAGUGUUCAUUUUUCCUGUGCACAGUGC